UACGAAUGAACCACUCAAACUGGAACUGUGGAACAUCAUAGCCAUGUAAGAGCUCCUUUCCCCAAAUUUGAAGGCUGGGUCUGGUGUACACUUCGUGGUCCCAUAUAUCCCACAAUUCAUAGCGCGGCGGUGGGUGUGGAUGUUUUUGUUGGGAAAAAACGACGGAUGCCUGAAGCAGGGCGGCCAAAGAGUAAACUUUUGAAAGUACUGAAUAUUAUGUCACUUAUUUAUGUGCAAAUGUUUAAUAACGAGGAACAUUAAAGCAUUACUGUUGGCCACAUGUCGGCAAAGUUAUGUGACAUUAGCGAUGUUUGUACUAACUUGGUUUUAAAGCCUUUACUUUAAAAUAUACGCCGUUCAAUAGUUGACUUUAAUCUUACAGAGAAUGUGAUGUUUUAUGGAUAAUUAACGUCAGUCAUAUAUCCACAAACACAACAAGCUGAAAGUCAGUGAUGCUGCUCGGUUUGCAGUCCUGAAUAUCACGGCACAAGCAGGAUCCACUGCACUGUUAAUGUGAGCUAUGUUAUAGAGAUUGAAAAUGUGACGUCAUUCAGGGGCAAAACAGCAAAGGAUUCUGGGAACGAGAGGCAAGCGGUACUAGCGCACGCAGGCUUUCACAUGAAAACAGUCACACAGCGAUAAAAAAGAAACACAAAAAUGUCAAGAAGCUGUUGUAUUAUUAACUGCAGUAGCCGGUCGCAUGACAGCCACGGGAAGCCGACGGGUAAAGAGAUCGGUUGUUAUCGGAUUACGUCGUUGAAGAGAAAUUGUUCGAGCCAUGUUUCCGAAGUAACAAAGAGGCGACGGAUGGCCUGGAUUGCAGCCAUUCAAAGACCAAAUAUAACAUCCCAGAACACUCCAGCUAACAUCAUAGUCUGCUCCAAGCAUUUCCACAAAGAAAAACAGCCUACACAAUGCUGGAAUGCAAUCCAGACUGUGCCCCCUCUAUCAGCCUGGGUCAGACCGAGUUUAAAGAUGUGAGUGAAGUUGGCUCCCCACCUUCUUCAAAUCCAACAAAAGUGGUAUCAAACGUUUGUGCUGGUUUGUGCUGCAGAAAUUUUUGUUUGUGCUGCUAUCAUUUUAAAGAUAUUAAUAAAAAUUUCUAGAGGUCAUCAGAGGUCAACCAGCCCCCCCACA
ensembl:lncRNA